AUGAAAAACUUACUCAUUAUCACCUUCUCUUCUGCAACACUCCUUGCUAUCUCUCGUCGUAAUCAUAUAUUCCCUCCGUCUAUUUUAUCCAACCCGUCCUUGUCCAUCUUCGUUCGUACUCCGCUUCUGCCCUCUCAUGAUUCCCUCAUGCAAACCAUCACCACCGUCUUCAACAAAUACUCCCUCCCAAAAAUCUGCUCUGCAGCCUCAAAAAGUUGUUCCCACUGUCGAACCGCUAAAAACCCCCAACCUCACCCGAACUAA